rnacentral:rRNA from 1 species
AUCUAUAGCCAUGCCCUGAAAAAGCCCGAUCCCAUCUGAUCUCGGAAGCUAAGCUGGGUCGGGCCUGGUUAGUACUUAGAUGGGAGACCACCUAGGAAGACCAGGUGCUGUAGGUG